rnacentral:rRNA from 1 species
AAGCGCCGGCUAACUAAGUGGCAGCAGCUGUUGUAAUAGGUAGGGCCCAAGCCUUAUCCGGAAUUAUUGGGCGUAAAGAGCUUGUAGGUUGUUUUGUCGCGUCUAUCGUGAAAGUCCGAGGCUCAACCUCGGAUCUGCGGUGGGUACGGGCAGACUAGAGUCAUGUAGGGGAGACUGGAAUUCCUGGUGUAGCGGUGAAAUGCGCAGAUAUCAGGAGGAACACUGAUGGCGAAGGCAGGUCUCUGGGCAUCAACUGACGCUGAGGAGCGAAAGCAUGGGGAGCGAACAGGAUUAGAUACCCUGGUAGUCCAUGCCGUAAACGUUGGGCACUAGGUGUGGGGGACAUUCCACGUUUUCCGCGCCGUAGCUAACGCAUUAAGUGCCCCGCCUGGGGAGUACGGCCGCAAGGCUAAAACUCAAAGGAAUUGACGGGGGCCCGCACAAGCGGCGGAGCAUGCGGAUUAAUUCGAUGCAACGCGAAGAACCUUACCAAGGCUUGACAUGUGCCAGACCGCCGUGGAAACACGGUUUCCCCUUUGGGGCUGGUUCACAGGUGGUGCAUGGUUGUCGUCAGCUCGUGUCGUGAGAUGUUGGGUUAAGUCCCGCAACGAGCGCAACCCUCGUUCCAUGUUGCCAGCGCGUAAAGGCGGGGACUCAUGGGAGACUGCCGGGGUCAACUCGGAGGAAGGUGGGGACGACGUCAAAUCAUCAUGCCCCUUAUGUCUUGGGCUUCACGCAUGCUACAAUGGCCGGUACAAUGGGUUGCGAUACUGUGAGGUGGAGCUAAUCCCAAAAAGCCGGUCUCAGUUCGGAUUGGGGUCUGCAACUCGACCCCAUGAAGUCGGAGUCGCUAGUAAUCGCAGAUCAGCAACGCUGCGGUGAAUACGUUCCCGGGCCUUGUACACACCGCCCGUCAAGUCACGAAAGUUGGUAACACCCGAAGCCGGUGGC